GACGAACGCUGGCGGCGUGCUUAACACAUGCAAGUCGAGCGAUGAAGCACCUUCGGGUGUGAAUUAGCGGCGAACGGGUGAGGAACACGUGAGAAAUCUGCCUUCAACUCUGGGAUAACUCCGGGAAACCGGGGCUAAUACCGGAUAUGAGCCUUGAUCGCAUGAUCGGGGCUGGAAAGUUUUUCGGUUGAAGAUGAUCUCGCGGCCUAUCAGCUUGUUGGUGAGGUAAUGGCUCACCAAGGCGACGACGGGUAGCCGGCCUGAGAGGGCGACCGGCCACACUGGGACUGAGACACGGCCCCGACUCCUACGGGAGGCAGCAGUGGGGAAUAUUGGGCAAUGGAGGAAACUCUGACCCAGCGACGCCGCGUGAGAGAUGAAGGCCUUCGGGUUGUAAACCUCUUUCAGUAGGGAAGAAGCGAAAGUGACGGUACCUACAGAAGAAGCACCGGCUAACUAUGUGCCAGCCGCCGCGGUAA
rnacentral:rRNA from 1 species